UGCUACAGUAAAUUACAGCCUUUCCUUGCCCAGGAGCUGAGCUAUAGUUUUUCUUCUGUUUCACAGUGUGAUACGUUGCCUUAAUUGCACCAUCUAUUGUGACAUUUUUGAUGCUUUUCAUUUUUGUCUUUCAUUGUGGGUGCUCCAACACGAGUAAAUGACACUACAGCAUUCAGAAAGCUUGUCAGGCUGUGUUCAGGUCAGCACUUCGUCAGUGACUGCUGUGAAAAAUAGUCAAUGAACAUCAAAGUUGUAGGACCUUGAAAAGGCAGUCAGGAGGAGCAGCCUGGAAAUCUGCAGAACAGAAGCACCUAAAGAAAGCAGAUUUCAUAUUGAUUAGUCUCUUCCUUAAGUAUAGUGGACCCACCACAGGGAUGAAUGUCAUCUUUACAGAGGAAGAAAAAUAACAGGAAGAAUUACAUCGUGCGGCAGUUUUUCAUUGCGGUGAAUUUAAGAGUGAGGCACAACAUGUGUUUUACUGGGCCUCCACCUCUUGCUUGGAUCCUUCUAGGUGGCUGUCAGGCAGACACCGAGCCAAGCUGAUGGCUUUCUGCUUGCAGAGGGAACAGCUCACAGGUAGCCUUACAGAUUCAGCAGGUAAGUGAGUUCAAGCUCACCACAUGUGAAAAAUAAACAAGGACAUUCUUUCCCAUGAUGGCAUCCUUUUUGUAGCAAAAGGAGUUGUGGAGGAGGGGAAAUGGCUGAUGAGCCAAUAGAUGUCAUUUCUCUGUGGUUAGGCUGAUUAUUUUUCUGUCCCAUGGAUAGCAAGCCAACAGCAGUUGCAUGAUGUAUAUUGCAUCCAAGGGAUAAAGUAGGCCUACUAGCUGAACUAGGACAAAAGAUAUCCUUCGGGCAGAUCUAGUAGCCAGUACCACAGUGAGUUUCUACUACACACUCUGUUCCCUGGAUUUACUGCUCACUGAAUGGAAAUGUAGAAAUGAGCAGAUUAGCUUCCUCUCUGUAAAGAAAGAGAGGCACUUUAGAAAGCAAGGUAGAUAUUUCAGAUUAUUUGCAGGCACAGCCAAGGAAUCAGGAACACUAAGUAAGUGACCAUGUGCAAAAGGAUUAUUCCAAUGCAAUGUCCUAGGGUAAAGGCAAAGCAAAGCUACUUGAGCUUAGAUGCAGGCUCCCACAGAAGGGCUGUUUUCUACUGUAGGAAUGAGUCACAGCAGCUGAAUAAUAAAGACUGUCCUAAAAGACAGCCUCAGACAUCAAGCUCCUGCUUAUUACACCUCAGAACAGCAGCUCACUGGGCUUUGUAAGAGCAUCAUUCUCCUAUCUCACAAAGCAGGGAGAUCACAAAAACUCCCCUUUACCUUACAGGACAUAGUGCUGGAGACUGUGGGUCCAGCCUCAGCUCAGGGAAAGAUGUUUCCUAUAUCCCAUCUGACUCUGCCAAGCAUUUGGUUACUAACGUGAUCUGUGAGAGCAUCUCCUUUCCUCAUUGCUGGCAAGAGCUUUUGUAAGUGGAGUUCCUCUAAGAGAGUUUAUUUUGAUGAAGUUGGAGUGUAUGUUUAUGUUUUUCUUUGGCGGAAACUACUUGUAGAUGUCCUGGGGUUUCAAGAUAACUGAAAUUGCCUUUUUAAUAGCUAGACUAUUUGCUCAACGUCCGCGUUGCUGUUUUGGUUAAAUCUGGGAUAGAGUUAAAUUUCUUCCUAGUAGCUGGUGUGGUGCUGAGUUUUGGAUUCAGAAUGAGGAUAGUGUUGAUCACGCAUCAAUAUUUCAGUUGUUGCUGAGCAGUGUUUACACUAAUUCAAGGACUUUUCUAUUUUUUGCACUGCUCUGUCAGCGAGAGGGCUGGGAAUGGGCACAAGAAGCUGGGAGGGGACAGAACCAGGACAGCCAUUCUAAACUGGCCAAAGGGAUAUUCCAUACCAGAUGGUGUCGUGCUGAACAACAAAACGGGAAGGAGUUGGCUGGGGGUUGGCCACUGGUCAGAGUUUGGGCUGGGCAUCAGGUAGUGGGUGGUGGACAACUGGGAUAUGCGUCACUUGCUUUGUUUAUAGUUUUAUCGUCAUUACUAUUUCCUCUUCUUUUCCUGUCCUAUUAUACUAUCUUUAUCUCACACGGCGAGGUGUACUGGUUCCUGCUACUUCUGGAAGCAAGGUUACCCAGUAAAGCUGAUACCGUUCUGCCAGUUCUCUCAUAGCUGCAAGAUUGUCUACCAUGCUUUGAACUCAGGAAAUCUUGUUUUUGAAACAUGCAACUCAGCAGUCAUGGAAGAGAGAAAGCUGUGGAAGAGGAAUAGAGGAGGGCUGCCCACCUCCUCCUUCAGAUGGGAAAGUCCUCACAGUUGUUUUCCCGCCAACCACGUCUGAACAUUGGAAACUGCCCCAAGUUUCUGCGUGAGUUGAUGAGAAGAUGUGCUUUGGGCUGAUGCUAAUAAUUUUGAUUUCUGGGACUGGAAAUAAAGACAAAAAGGCACCUUAAUUCUAUCCACUAAAUCUUCUCAGAGGAAUUCUCUUGGCCUCUUCUGUUACAAGCAUCAUCCUUUGGUUUUCUCUUCAAAACUAUUUUAUAUACUGGGAGUCGUCAUCCCGGGAGGCAUGAACAAGAAUCUGGUGACAGGAGCAUCAUGAAGUUCAAGACUUCAAAUGUGAAGUCCUGCACCCUGUAAAUAGUGACACCAUGCAACAGUACAAACUGGGGACAGGCUGACUAGAAACUAGCUUUACAUAAGAGGACCUAGAGGUCCUGAUGGACAUCGAGCUGAAUGUGAGUCAAGAAUGUGCCACUGCGUGAAUGAGAGCCAAGCACAAAAGACACUGGGCUGCAUUAGUAACAGCAGAGGCAGUGGGUUGAGAUAGCCAGCAGAGGUGAAUAUUGCACCCCUCUGAGGAGAAGAAAAUCCCCCAGGCAAGCAGAGAGCAAGAUUGACAUUUCUCAUUAUUUCUGUACUCCAGGUAAUAUAUAUAAACUUUUUUUUUUUUUUUCCCUGGGAGCCCUUCAAACCAAGCAAAUGAAGACAUUUCUUCUGUACAGUCAACGACACUCCAAAAGGUCUGAUCUGCUCUCUGAAAUUUCCCCUGAUUUUGCUGUGGCCCUCAGGCUGUAACUCAGUGAUCUCGGCACACAACGUGGCUAUCCCAAAAUCUCAAGUUUUGCUUUGACCAAGUAUUUACCAUAACGAAUAGAAACUAUUCCUUGAACAACAACGUCUUUUACCACUUGCAAAUCUCCAUCUAAUCUGACUGUCCUUAUCUAUAAGCGGAGAGAAUGAAAAGCAGAGAUAUAAAACCCAAAGGUUAAGUACAUAUUUUUUGCAACUGUUUAAUGUUCAGCAUUCUCAUGUUGUGAAGAACAUGCAAAGUUUCUGCAUUCUUUCUAUUGGGUGCAUUCGUCACCAAAGCAGACUUGCUAUCGGUUUGGGAUGUAAACUGACCUGUGUCACUGCAAUUUGCCUGUUUUCAUGUGUGUGUUUGGUUUGCUUUUGGCAUACAGGCACUUACGGCUGAUCCAAAGUCAUUCAAAAGCUCAGCAGAUGCUUCUGUGAAUCUCUUCUAUGUUUAGAAAUGGAAAUGAAGCACGAAACCAGGUGCUUUCUGUGCUGUCCUGAAUUAUGGAUUUUAUCCUUCAUGUUGUAACACAGUUUACUUGUCUUCUGGUUUAUCAUUUUUGAAGAAGGUAUGAGGUAAAAUACCAAGAUCUCCCUGACAGAGUCUUGUAGGACUCCAGGAACUGCUGUCUUCUGUACGGGUCCUCUCCAAUUCAACAGCACCCUUUCAGCUGACAUCAAAAGGGGUGAGUGAGGGCUGUGUGGAGUACAAGGAGCCAACACUGCUAAUAAGACAGAAAUUUGCCACUGAUUUUGUGAAAUUCUCUGUACUGGAUUAUACAGGAGAUCAGAAAAGAAGAUUUUCAGAGUCUCUUCCUCUAACUCUUGCAACUUACUCUUGGGAACUGGUAUUAUCAGGUGAGUAUGGACUGGAUGAUCUCCAGAGGUCCCUUCCAACCACUGCGAUUCUGUGAUUCUGAUUCUAAUCUCACAAAGAACAUGGGACUAAUAUUUCUAAGUUUAAGAAUCAGAGGGUUUUUUCAAACCAUUUUAGGAGGAGGCAAGAAACACUUUGGUUUAGCUUUCUGGUCUGAAAAUAUCAAUAGUUUGUUGCAUUUUUGAAAAGAGCCACAGGAAUCAUAGAUCAAAGAACCAUAGAACGGCUUGAGUUGGAAGAGACCACAAAGCCCACACAGCCCCAACCCUCUGCCAUGGGCAGGGCUGCCCCCCACCAGCUCAGGCUGCCCAGGACCCCAUCCAACCUGGCCCUGAGUGCCUCCAGGGAUGGGGCACCCACAGCUUCUCUGGGCAGCUGUGCCAGGGCCUCACCGCCCUCUGAGUAAAGAUUUUCUGCCUAACAUCUAACCCAAAUCUCCCCACUUUUAGUUUAAAGCCAUUUUCCCUUGUCCUAUCGCUAUUAGACUGUGUGAGAUGUUGGUUCUCCUCCUGUUUAUAAACUCCUCUCAAGUACUGGAAGGCCACAGAGAGGUGUCCCCGGAGCCUUCUCUUCUCCAGGCUGAACAAGCCCAGCUCCCUCAGCCUUUCUUCACAGGAGAGGUGCUCCAGCCCUCUGAGCAUCUUCGUGGCCCUCAUCUAGACAUUCUCCAACAGCUCCACAUCUUUCUUGUGCUGGAGGCCCCAGGUCUGAAUGCAGUACUGGGCCUCAUGAAGGCAGAGCAGAGGGGAAUAAUCACCUUCCUCUCCCUGCUGGCCACCCCUCUGUUGAUGCUGACCAGGAUAUUGUUGGCCUUCUGGGCUGCAAGAGCACACUGGUGGCUCAUGUCAAGCCUUUUAUCUAUCAGAGACUGCGGGUCCUCCUCCGCAGGGCUGCCCUCAAUGAGUUCUUCUCCCAGUCUGUACAUGUAUCAGGAAUUACCCUGACCUGAGUGCAACACUUUGGUCAAGCCAUUGCUCUCAUGGCUACAGGUUUGUUGUUUAGACACAAUAAUGUACAGAUGGGCUUUGCAUUUAUCAAGAAUAAUCACCAGCUGAGAUGCUGAGUGGAGGAAAACUAUUAUCGUCGUGACUGAACAGAGUCUGGCAGCAUUCUUUGUUGUUUGUGGCUUAUUCUUGAAAUUAGAUUUCAGAGACUAAACUGACCUCUCUGUAAGCUGAGCUCAGAAGAUGAAGGCCAAUAAUGGGAGAAGGAGCACAUCUCAAGGCAAAAGGUUUAACCGUCUGCCUCUUGGUAACCUGCAGGAAAUCCACCAAACAUCAUUUCAUUUGCAGCGAUUAAAGGUGAACAAUAUAGCUCUGUGUAGGAUUUCUUGUAUUUGAGACACAUUUAGUUAAUUAUUACCUCUUCAUUUAUUUUCUACUCUAGAAUAAGUCUUGCUGUGGGAAGCGGGGUGUAGGAAACACGAGGUGGUGCUUUUCAGCGACAAACCUUCAACUAUGGCAUUGUUUUUCAUACUUGCAAUAUUCAGCCACAGUAUCCACAAGGGAGGUACCACAAUUGCAAAAUGCUAUUUAAAAUAAUGGCGUGUUUUAGAAGAGCUUCCAAUGUCUCUCAUAAUAUUUGCAGAUAAUCUCAGUUUGCCAAUCUGUGAAGUAAUUAUUCUCCAUCUGUGAUAUCCAGUGAUAACCAGUUAGACUUUCAAAUUCAUUUUUACCAACAUUGGUGAGCUCAUCACUCGCCUGUUGAAAGAACAGAACACAAACAUUAAAACAGUGUAAAGGCAAUGUAUUUAUUAUUGUAGCAUGCAGUCAAACCUGCAUAAUAACUACUAAUUAAAGUGUUAAGGCCUUAAUUUUAGAAAGACAGAGAGGCUUUCUGCUUUUGUACAGUACCAUACACACAUCAUUUUUAUGCUUUGCUUUCUGUGAUUAGUGACCAAGGCCUGGCAUGAGACAAUUUUACUUAAUCAGCUAUAUGCAUUAAAUACCAGCAGCUGCAAUUAGACAUUCUUUUGUAUCACAUACUACGCCUCACGCUGCUAUUUGCUCCUGACCUUGGCAGGCACUUCUGCUGUGUUUGGAGAGGAGCACAGUGAAAUUCAGAAUUCUUUUUUUCACAGCCUGGAUGUUGGCAGAUGUGCACACACAUUCUUGCCCCACAGACCAAACAGAGCAACUUCAGAAGUGCAGCAGGAGUUCCUUUAAAACAGACUGGGAAGGAAAGGUGGGAAUGAACGAAACCUCUACCCCGUGCCUUAACACUUUUGAGUACGAUGUUGGUUUGCAAUGCUUACGUAUCACUUUGGACAUUACACAUUGGCACUGAGUACCUAAAACAAGAGACUUGAGCUUUCCAUUUGCUUUGCACAUCUGUUUUGUCGGGUCCUGUGCUCGUAGCAUCAUUUUUUCCCAGCUGCAGUAUCACAACUGGACACUAGAGAGCUCCUUUUACCAAAGACAUCUCUCCAACGUGAGGGCAGAGCCCUGUGAGGUACGUACAGAGAAUUCCUCCUUUUUUAUAUAACACGGUUUUACUCAUUCUUCAUUUUUAUGUUAAAAAUUAAUAUUCUCAAGGGAAAGCUAUCUUUGCCAGAAAGAGCAAUGGCUGCAGCUGUAGCUCCACAUCUCCUACCCCCAACAAGACAGAGAUUUCAUAGGAGUAGUAACUUGGGAACUAAUUACACAAUUUCAGAGAUAAGAAAAAGUAAAUCAAAUGCUGCCAGCAUGGAAAUUAUAAUUAAGUUUUUCUCUGAAUAACAAAUACACUCCAUAUGUAAUUUAUUAUGACUAUUACUAUAUUAAUAAUACUAAUAACCUAUGCCAUGCACCUAUGGAGAGUACAUGUUUUUGUCUAAAUUGCUGGGUUAUAGUCGCAGAUGCAGUAUGAAUGCCAAACAGCUCUCUGCAGUCAUUCUGCUGAUAACCUUAAGCCUUACAACACCCAAGCUAUUGCUAAACACUACUCUAUUAGCAAGUGAUAUAACAGGAUGACGACUGGAUCUACUUUUUUCAUUAGCUGUGUUUGACCCGUUCCCCCAGUUGCCUUUACCCUAUCAAUCAUUUAUUCAAAACCAAAACAAAAUCUCCUAUGCUGUCACUGUAAGGGCAUAUGCGUUCCUGCUCCUCUGAUUUUGGCAUAAGCACAGUCUGCUGCAAGAUGCUGUAAUGAUGUGACAUCUUAUCAUAUUGCCCGUUAGGGAUUUUGCGUUAGGGUUGAUUUACAGAUAGCUGUGUCCCGAGGUCAGCAGUGAGAGGGCACAACAUUUUGUCUCCAAAGCAAAGCCCUGUCCCACUCUUACCUCAGAAUCUUGGAGUGCAAAGAUUGAAAAAGCCCAUAGGAAAUCUUCAGAACUGUGGUUCUUGGCCAGGGCAGAGAAGUACAGCUUUCACUGCAGUGCUUCCCAGUAGUACCGCCGUGCCAAUGGCUACGUCCUUUGCUCUUGCCUACUCAUCCCAGUAUGAACUGGGAACACAAGAACCAGUGAAAUCCAGAGUGCAGAGCCAACCUUCCCCAAUCAGUUGUGUGCCUCGGAGGGAGGAGUGGGCCUUGCAAGUGUGCUGUCAGCUCCUGCCUGUGUUCCCUGCCCAAGGUAGCUUUGGGCACACCUCCUAAUUUUCCUGCACCUCUGCUGCUUCAGAUGUUUUGUGUGGUGUAGCUAAAAGUCUCAUUUUCUUCCACCAUUUCUUUGCCUUGUUCCCCUGCUCAGUCUGGGAUCUGAUUGGUUUUACCUAGAAAGCCAGAGAAACUAUGUUCUGAAUUUCGAGGGAGCCAUUCUUCCAGGACAGCCCAACUGUAUUAAUGACAGUGAGCUGAAAUGUUCCACUGACAUCUCUUUACUUUGUUUCCAAAACCAGCAAGAGACGAUAGUAGCUGAGCCAGACUUUAAUGGUAGCUUUUCUUUGUUCUUUUCAACCCACAGUCUUUUGAAAAUGUAAUGGUAAAAGAUAGAUGAGAUUUUCAGCUUAGGGCAGCUCCAAACAGGCUGGCCAAGGAGGUCAGCGUGGGAAGGGGAGGCUGCCUUUUGAUUCAUCUGAAAGUCAUCUCUUACAAACUGCUCGGUGUGAGCCUUGGUCAGGUCAUUAUGCAACUCUGACGUUGUCCAUGCAGAUCAGGGCUCCAGCAUGGCACUCAUCAGCUCUCUUCCUAAACCACAGAAUCAUAGAAUGGCCUGGGUUGAAAAGGACCUCAAAGAUCAUCGAGUUUCAACCCCCUGCUAUGUGCAGGGUCGCCAACCAGCAGACCAGGCUGCCCAGAGCCACAUCCAGCCUGGCCUUGAAUGCCUCCAGGGAUGGGGCAUCCACAACCUCCUUGGGCAACCUGUUCCAGUGCAUCACCACCCUCUGGGGGAAAAACUUCCUCCCAGUAUCCAACCUAAACCUCCCCUGCCUCAGUUUAAAACCAUUCCCCCUUAUCCUAUCACUAUCCACCCUCAUAAACAGCCAUUCCCCUUCCUGCUUAUAUGCUCUUAAAUGACCUUGAUGCACCCAGAAAAUCCUCCCUACCUUUGAGAAGGGAGAGCCUCUAAUGAUAGCAACUCUAACGAAACCCAACCAUAGCUUGCCAAACUGCAGCUAACAAAAUCAAAGGGCGUGGUGAAGUCAGGGCUAGCGUGUCUCUUACAAAACCCCAAUUCUCAAAAAACUGUUUUAUUGCUUCCAGCCCUGGGAGCUCACGUUACACACUGGACAAACCUAGCAGGGCCCUGUCAUUUGUCAGUCAGUGUUAUGGCACGACAGGAGCCUGAAAAGUUAAAAACCAGUUUAACGAAUUAAAAAAUUUAAUGGGAUUCCCAUUAAGCUCGUCUGGGAAGUUUCAUCUGGGAGAACAAAGAAGGAAAUACCGUGGGAUAUGUUUUCUUUGCAGGGAGGAUACGUGGUCCCCACAGGCAAGAACAGCAAGGUGCUCCCUGGAGAGAGAGAGAAGCCUGCAAUAUUUCACAAAGGAAAUUAAAAUGUGAUUCCUGUCAAGUCACCCCUUAUGAGUUCUCCUCUUCUCAUUAACGUUUUGGACAGUCUGAUAUUCAGAAAAACAAAGAUGCUAACUGUGGCUGUCAGUUACUUUUCUUCCUUAAUUUUAUUUUGCAUCAGCUGACCAGAGAGCAAAGUUUUUGCGAGGCAUCCAAGAUCUCAGCAUUGGAGGAACUCUUCAUAGAAACUGAAUUUAACAGCUCUGCCAAUUCAGCUGGCAGAUGUGUUUAUUACAAUGACAAAUGCCCUGGGACCUUCUAGUCCCCUUUCUCUAAAAAAAUCCCACUUUUGCUUUAUUCAUCUCUCCCCAAAAUAUUUUAGAAGGCGGACUCAGGAAAAAUGACUCGCUUAGCAGAAUUUGUAUAAAUUAUUACUUAAUGAUCGUGAUCCAUAGGCUAUUCUUUCCAUCAAGAUGUAAGCCACUGCCAAGCCAGACUAAUAGGAGUUUAUAGACCAGCAGUGAGUGUAAGCAGUCUCAGUGACACGAAUACAAACCCAGCAGCUCAGCUUACUGCAGCUUAGAAUGGAUUAAUGUCCCAUGGCAGAUGCCAGCCUCUUGCCAAAAAGACUAACCCAGUCUUUAUGAAUUUCCUGUUCCUCACAAUGGUUGAGCUACGUCAAUACUGAGAUAACUAGAAAUAGACCCAACUUCUUCAAUGUCGGACUGCGCCCGAAUUUUCCUUGAGGCUCUUCUACAGCCCUUGCCUAUUCAGAGCAAGCUCAGUAUGUUCUUUUACUGAUUUCAUCAACAGAUCCUUUUAAGCAGUGGUAACCCUCAGGAAGCUAAUUUGUUUUCUCUCCAUCUUUUCCCAAGGAAGAAUUAAGAGUGGAGAGGAGUACUGUGGUUUGAUAGAGUGGUUUGUUUGCUAUUAUUAUUGUUUUUGUUUGUACCGGAGAGCGUUGGCCUUUUGCACUGAGAUGAUGAUGGGGAUCAUGGAAAUCCUUCUUUUUUUUUUCUUCUUCUUCUUCUUUUUUUUUUUUUCCCAGGUUUUGCAGAGAAACACUCAUUAUUCUUGCAACAGAAUCUAGGGAAGCUCUGUCUCAGCAUACAUGACCUCUGCUGUACAAAGAAAAAGGUUGCGUUGUGCCUGAGGAACAAAGCUCUGGAAUUAAGUCUAUAACAGCUAAGAUAUGCUGGGCCACGGAGCAUCUUUGCAAGUCUCUAAACAGCCCACAGGAAAAUCUCAGAAGGACCCUGUGAGUGGCAGUUAUGUAAGAUGAAACUUGAGCCAAGCCAUUGGGUCCCAUAUUCCAGGGACGGGAGAAAAUGGCAGGUGUGAUGAGCUGGGGCUGUCUGCGUUCAUGGAGUUUCUGUGCUGUCUGGAGUUUCCUCACUUGGAAGGUUUCAUAUGUUGAUGUUUUGCAUUGCUCUGGACACAACGAAAAGUAGGAAAGCACAAACAAGUGAACCCAGAGCAUCAUAAAGCAGCCUAGAACUAAAUUUUUGGUCUAGUGGAGGUGACAGAAGACACCACUGAGAGGUUUCACUGAGCUUUAGUGACAGUGAGCACCCUGGAAAUGCUUGCAAAUUGGCUGGGUUUGAUGCCUGCUUCUUCCAGGCUGCAAAAGCUGUCCUGAAAUCUUCCAGAGUCCCACUGCAGGGACCCUAGGAGUGCUUCAGCGGAAUUGCAGAUGACUUCUGGCUUUGGCCCGAAGCCAUGGGAAAUGAGAAGAUCCAGAAUUAGGCAAAACUCAGUAUUUUCUUUCUAAUUGUUUAUAAAUACAGGUUAUAUGUUCCUAUCAGCUGAGAAGGAAGCUAGAGUGGCAUCAGGCUAGAGAAUGGAGUGCAGGUGUGCAUAAAGAAACAUAGAGAACUCACCUCCUUGGAGAGAAGAUGUGAUCCCAGAGCCUGGGAGGAAGGAGCCCUGUGGCACCCACUAACAGGACAAAGUGCUAUGUGAGCUGAAACAGGACAGAGGGGAUUUUACUUGAAACAAAACAGGGUUUACACAUUCACAUACCUUCAUGCUUCCAAACACCAAAAUGGAUGGGUCCAGGUGCUCUGGCCCAGGUGACUUGUGGUGGUGAAGAUGGAAAGGGACAUCUGUAGGCAUCUCAACAUGUCGCCUAGGUUCUCCACGGACUGGAAGCCAAGUGCUUGCUCUUGGAUCUCCUAAGAGUUGACAGUGUGAUCUUUUGUUUCCUCAUCCUGUUCCACCCCUGGCUUAGUAUUUGCUUUUCUGUCCUUAUGUGGGUGUUUUAUGGCUCCUUGCCUGCUUUUUUCUUCCUUUCAUCACUUCUUGAGGGCUCUGGUUUAUUAGCCUGUCCUUCAUUUUGCUCGCUGUGUAGACUGUCUUUGGUUUUAGGAGGUUCUGGUUAGUCUCACACAGACCCGUUGUCACCUUGAUGACCUGCUGGCUGAGGUGCCAUCUGCACCUACCAUUCCGCUCUUCUCUCUGGCAUUCCCACACUUAGGUAAUCACUUUCAUUCAGAAAGUUCUUUAUAUUUUUAUUAAAAAUUCCUCACGCUUUGCAACAUAUGUUAUCUGUCUACAGCAGAUUCUCAGGAGUGCAGAUGACUACUGAAGAAGCAAGGACCUCUAAGGAGGGUCCACUUCAGCCCACCUCCAGUCUGAGGGUCAUUUAGACAUAUGGAACAACGCAGAGAGAAAAGGGAGCACUGAAAAGCUGCUCCAGUAAUUCCCAGCUGCCUCUUCCCCACUCUACUUCCUCCUGAUGCUGCCCUUUUCAAUUGGCCACUGAACUGGGGUUUCAAAUUAUUUCUCUCGAGAAGCUGUACAGAGUUUUAUUGCUUUGAUUCUAACUGAUCUAUUGGCUGCCUGCGCAUUUCUCAGCCACUUUCUGAAAACAGCAGCUGGUACAGAUGAUGUUUGCAGGUGAAAAGUGGAGCUGCCUAAUAGCUUUCCAGCUGAUAUAGCACCAGCACUGGAUUAGGUCAUUGUAAUGGCAGCUGAAAACUUUGCUUUAACACAGCUUGAGCAGCUCGGUACACCUUGGUUUAGUGAGAAGAAGCAGUGUCCAGCGUGGCUGGUUGAUGUACUGCUGUAUCUCAAGUGUUUGUCCAACACGAGCACCAGAAAGUUGAGCACAGUGAAAUAAAACCAGAUCUGCUUGCGAAAACAAAAUGGAAAAAAGUCACCUGAAAGAAAAAUCCAUAUUCCUUUCUCAGUAGCUUUUAUGAAAACUUUUUCCUUCCUCAAAUUACAGUGACUCCAUGUGGCUUACUCCACAAUGCAGAUUUUAAUAUAUUUUUACUAAAAUUUAUUCCAGCUGUUGCUAAUCAUAGAGAUAUGAAUAAUAUUAUUAUACAGAGAAAAAUCUUGACUAGACUUGGUGCAGAUUUAUUCAUUUGUAAUUUUUCCAUCUUAAAUCCAAAUAUUAAAAGCCAGAUGAAAGGAAGGAAAGGUAAUUGUAACCGCUGGCUUCUACUUCACCAUGAUGAAAUUGAGCUUGCUCAGUAAUCAAAGAAUAAGCGUAGAGAUUUUUAUCAGAGUAUCUGAUUUUAUCAGACCAUUUGCAGGGACUGCAAUUCAAUAGAAACCGGGGAUGCCAGAUCUUUCGUAUAAAUCACUUUUGGGAGAGGACUGCUGCUGAGCUCCAGCUCAGACAUGCCCAGAAAAAAAUCAACCAACUGAAGUUGAAUAGGGAACACACUGGGGGUCUUCAAACUCUGUCAUUAUUGCAGCAUGUAAACUUCUAGGAGGCCAUUACAUUGAGAAAUGUGCUGCCAGCUCUGAAGGCUGAGUCCAGUCAUAGAAUCAUAGAAUGGUUUGGGUUGGAAGGGACCUUAAAUAUCAUCCAGUUCCAACCCUCUGCUAUGGGCAGGGACACCUCCCUCUAGACCAGGUUGCUCAAAGUCCCAUCCAGCCUGGCCUUGAAUGCUUCCAGGGAGGGGGCAUUCACAACCUUUCUGGGCAACCUGUUCCAGUGUCUCACCACACUCACAGUAAAUAACUGCUUCCUGAUAUCUAGUCUAAGUCUACUGAUUCAGUUCAGUCCUUGGUCGAAAAUGCAUCCUUCACCUCACCAAAGUCAGAUUCUUUUUCACAACCCAGUGCCUCCGUACAGUGGUGUUAUGAAUUCCAUCCACUAAGUAUGGAUCUGCGUUCUGUGUCCAAACCUAUUUCUUAUGCCGCAUUUACUUCCAGUGCCCAACCAUACAGAAAUUUACCCAUGCCUUUGCACAGCAGGAAGCAUAUGGUGCCUGAGUUACUCAAGUCCAUUUCUCAGGAAAGCAGUCCUUUAAAAACAACUUCUGUCCAUCAAGGCCCCCUCUUCAAACAGCCUCACAUUCAUGCUGUUCUGCUUGUGGUAAGAAUCAGUGUUCCAGCUACAGCAAAAAUGCAGUUUGCACUGUAAGAGGAGGAAAUAAAUGUCGGGUCAUCUAAGAGUCCUUCAUUCACUCAGCCAAAAAUGAGACUACCCUGAUUUCCCUUUUUCAUUUUUGUGGUACUGAGUCAUGAGUUGAUUUCUUUGGGAAAAAAAAGAGAAGAAAAUCUAAAACUGUCUUGUAGUUAAUCAGUAUUAGAUAGAUGGCUAAGUGACAGCUCAUAUGACUCAGGCCCUUUAGGCUGCACUUAUCCCUUGCUCUCAUGCUAUAAAACACGCUUUUCCAGACAAAGGCAAGACUGAGAACUCUCUUCAGCUUUGGGAAAGUUCUGCACUGCUCAUGGAGAAGGAAAACUGCCGAUCCACACUGAAUCAGAGAAGAAAAAUGCUCUCUUCUCCACUCCCACCCCACCACGUGGCUCCACACCCCCAAAGCAAGCGCACAAGAAUGUUGAGACGCAUCACUACCCUUUGUCAACCACAAGCCCCAGUCACUUUGCACACACUGUCCCACGCCUCCCCUCUCUGUCAAACCACGGAUGCUGCAGCCACCACGGGGGCUUAAAGAACCUCUCCAAUCCUGCCAUUAGACUAAAGCUUAAAGUGGGUCUCUCCAGAGGCGGAAAAGGAAUUUGUUGUAUGAGCUGAAAAAAAGAUUCCCUCUAAUCCAGUAACAACUAUGGCAAGCUUUUUUUCAGCUUGAAAUCUCUGGUUUUACACGAGCAUAUGAAGCAGGUGUCAAAUGGAUCUAAAAAUGGGUCACGGAGGAUUCUGUUGCUCGCCAUCUGUGUCAGUGGUGGGGAACGCACAUCCACAGGGAUCCACGGGGCACCGCGCGGUAUCUCCUUGCUGAUACAGUUUUGUAGGAUGAAGGGCUUUGUGUUUCCAGUAGUGAUACAUAGUGCGCUCUGUGUCUACUCAGGAGAGGUGGUUAAUCACAGGGCUGCGGGCUGAACCUCAAGCACUAAAACCUACUGAAAAGGAAAGGUCGCCCUGGGGACAUCAGAUAGCUUUGUCUCCCGAGGAUCACAGGUCCAGAAAAAAAGCUGCAGGGUACUGAGGGCAAGAAGUUUCCUCUCCUGCUUGUGAUCCUUCCAUCUCUUAGCCGCAGUUGAAAGUGAAAGCAGAAACUUGAGAAUUUCCACUGGGCUUUAGGAAGACUCUUUGCCAAAGACAAACUUCCUGUAGCCUAUACUGACCUAGAGGCAAGUCAGUAUGGUAACGAGUAAAACGGAUCAUCAAUUGGAUUGCUCUAGCUCAGCCCAGCAAAGCAUUCCAUCUUGGCUCUGUUGCAGUGCUCCCGGUAACUCCAAAGCCCCACUCCUAUUUGGCUGCACAGAGUGAGGGGCUCUGGGCUGUGCAGAUCGCUGCCUCGCCACAGCUCCUCCAGCACAGACAGCACGCUGCUUUAAUGCCAAACUCAGCUACAGGUUUUGCAGCACUCACAGGAUCACCGAGGUUGAAAAAGACCUCUGAGAUCAUCUAGUCCAACUGUCAGCCCACCACCGCCAUGCCCACUGACCACGUCCCCCAGUGCCACAUCCACGUGGCUCUUGAACGCAAGAUGGCAAUUUCCUUCCAUAGCUUUUUUUUGCUUUUAGCAGUAUGAAUGCAAUCUGCACCAACCAAACAUUGUAUGCUUGGCAGAUAGAGUUUCAUCCUAGGGCUAUUGAAAUCAAUUGUGAAACCGUUCAGUAACUGACUACAAGCAGAAAUCAAUUGUACCAGUUACCACAUGGCUUAGUUGAAAUGUAAAAUUAUUUGUUCAGAGAGCAAGAAACUAUUUACUUGUGCUGCUUCUGAAAUCUACCUCUAGCUGUGACCAGAUGGUAAUUUAACUUUUAAAUUGUAUUUACUGCAUUCUUAUACUCUAAUCAGUCGGUGCAAAGCCGAACUCUUCUGAAGUCCGCGCUUCAGCUUUAAACUUAAAACUUUUGCAGUUUCUCUCUGCCUUUGAGCUGUUGCCAUCCUCAGACAGUAACACAUCAAUCGGCGCCCGGCCCUUUGAAGUGUAACAGUUCAGAUGUGACUGCUGCGCGCGUAGCCUGCCGUAUGUUCCACCGUGAGUGGAGGCUGAGCCUCCCUACUUCACAAGUAACGAGCUCCGCUCAAUUAGCAGAGCGAGUUCUUUUUGAGUGUUGUGUGUAAUUAGUUUCAAGGUCUUUGGUUUUAAUGGCCAUUUGUUAACAAUCUUUUUAUAUCGCUGGCACGAAACUUGUGAUUCAAAUACAAGCAAACAGCCAAAAAGCUGGAGUGCUCGACUACACGUGUGAUCCCACAGCUCAGAUCUCCUCUUCUGAGAAGCAGUUUGGCUUUACAUUUCAGAAGCGAUGACAUGGCUGCAUUAGGUAAAGGCCCAAGGCCCGCGGGAGCAGGAG
ensembl:lncRNA